rnacentral:rRNA from 1 species
ACGAACCGUGCAAACGUUAUUCGGAAUCACUGGGCUUAAAGGGCGCGUAGGCGGGUGAUCAAGUCAAUGGUGAAAUCCUCCAGCUUAACUGGAGAAGUGCCUUUGAUACUGAUUGUCUAGAGGGAGGUAGGGGCAUGUGGAACUUCAGGUGGAGCGGUGAAAUGCGUAGAUAUCUGAAGGAACGCCAGUGGCGAAAGCGAUGUGCUGGACCUCUUCUGACGCUGAGGCGCGAAAGCUAGGGGAUCAAACGGGAUUAGAUACCCCGGUAGUCCUAGCCCUAAACUAUGGGUACUAGAUUGUGGACUUUCAUGGGUUCACAGUCGAAGCAAAAGUGUUAAGUACCCCGCCUGGGGAGUAUGGUCGCAAGGCUG